rnacentral:rRNA from 1 species
UACGGGGGGGAGCAAGCGUUGUUCGGAUUUACUGGGCGUAAAGGGCGCGUAGGCGGUCGUGACAAGUCACUUGUGAAAUCUCCGGGCUUAACUCGGAAAGGUCAGCCGAUACUGCGGGGCUAGAGUGCAGAAGGGGGCAACUGGAAUUCUCGGUGUAGCGGUGAAAUGCGUAGAUAUCGAGAGGAACACCUGCGGCGAAGGCGGGUUGCUGGGCUGACACUGACGCUGAGGCGAGCGAAAGGCUAGGGGAGCGAACGGG